GCCGGAGUGGCGGAAUUGGCAGACGCGCGGGAUUCAAAAUCCCGUGGGGGCAACCUCGUGAGGGUUCGAGUCCCUCCUCCGGCA
rnacentral:tRNA from 1 species